CGAGAGGCUCCUCGCUCGGAGCCCGUGGGAAGAGGCUGGGAGCCCCGGCGUUGGGUUGCCAUUAGCCUUGUAGGCCUGUGUUGUGUACCUGGAAAAGCCGGGCUGAAGCGCAGGGACAGCCCGGGCACUGUAGGCGUUCCUUCAGCAGGCCAGGCUGCCUUCCCUGCAGCCCUGCCCCUUGCAGCCCUGUCACUCACCGCCGACACCGGCGCGGCCGAAUCGAACUUGGGAAGCUUUGUAAAAUACGUUGAAGGCAAGACACGGUUGUUUUGAUUUUCCUCUGUUGAAGUAGGACUUACAGGUCUGAGAAACUUUUCUUCCCUCAGGCAACAGCAGGAUGCUGUGAUCCCGUUUCCUAAUAUCUUCCAUAUCUUUCCUUUUUUUUUUUUUUUCUUAUCCACCUCCCAAAAACCACAGCACUGCAACACAUGAUAUUUGAAAGAUGAUAUGUGUGUGUAUUUCUGCCAGGAAAUGCUGCACUUUUAAGUACUAUAACUUCUGUAGCAGUGCUGCUGUACAGUUUUGUCAGAUGUAAUUGCUUUGGAAAUACUUUCAAAAGUAAUAUAGAAUGCUGUGGAGAAAUCUCAUAUGCUUUUAGAAAUAGCACUGGAACCGGACUGCAAGAAAAAGUAAUUUUGUUUAAGUGUUUGUGAUUGACACUGAGAUAAUAUUGAGAGAGGAACUGUAACAUAUGUAACACAUGCUUUGAUGUUUGAAGUGUCCUCUUUUAAAGCAGCAACAUAACUGGUGGUUAUUAGUGAUUAUUAAAGACAUGGAUAUGUUACUAAUCAGGCAAAUUCUAAAUCCGUAAUUGUAUUUGGCCUACUUAAAACCAGGAGGCAUGUUUGUACUAUUUCUGUAUAAAACCACUGUAUCUGAUAAAACCAAUUAAUAUGGUUGGUUUUUUUCAUUUUCUUUUUCUGUGGCCCAGGACAGAAAAGA